GAUGAACGCUAGCGGCAGGCUUAAUACAUGCAAGUCGAACGGUAAGGUCUCUUCGGAGAUACACGAGUGGCGCACGGGUGCGUAACGCGUACACAAUCUACCUCAAGGAAGGGGAUAGCCCCGGGAAACUGGGAUUAAUACCCUAUAGUAUUGCGAACCGGCAUCGGUUUGUAAUUAAAGCUCCGGCGCCUUGAGAUGGGUGUGCGUCCCAUUAGAUAGUUGGUGAGGUAACGGCUCACCAAGUCCACGAUGGGUAGGGGGCGUGAGAGCGUGAUCCCCCACACGGGCACUGAGACACGGGCCCGACUCCUACGGGAGGCAGCAGUAAGGAAUAUUGGUCAAUGGAGGCAACUCUGAACCAGCCAUGCCGCGUGCAGGACUAAUGCCCUAUGGGUUGUAAACUGCUUUUAUAAGGGAAGAAACCUGGUGAUUUAUCAUCAGCUGACGGUACCUUAGGAAUAAGCACCGGCUAACUCCG
rnacentral:rRNA from 1 species